AAAGGCACAAAAAGAAAAAGCAAUUAAAAAAAAACCCUAAAGGUUCAGCAUCUACAGAAUGGGUCUGAGUGCUCGGCUGGGGUUUGGGGGCAAACGAAAAAACUGGACUGCAUGGGUGAUGAAAAGGCUUCCUGACGACGAUCGGGUGGGCGAGCUCAAUCAACCAAAGCUGCAAAGUUCAAUUUUGUGGGCAAUUUCUUAAUCUGCAGAUUACGAAGCUUAUAUUGAAGAAUCUUGGAUGGAUUCCGAUCCUUCAAUUUUUCGUUGGAUUUGCUCCAUCACUGGAGAACCGAUCUGGUAUUGACAUGUUGGCUUCACUUUAGUUCCUCCCUUCAGGUAUAUCUCUCACUUUAACUUUUUAUUAGGUUCUCUAUACAGCACACCAACGAAUUCAAUGUUACGGGGCAGACCAUUAUCUUUAAGCAAGGAGAAAGAUAUGCCUCGAUUCAAUUAGUUGGAGUAUUGAUUUACCAAACAUGGUUUCGAUGGAUGUCACCAAAUCUUGCCUUUAGUCAAUUAGCCAGGUACGUCCCUUUCUGGAUGAUCUUUCAAUUCAACUCAAUUAUGUUUAUGUUCUGUAUUUCAAUAGGUGACAAGUUCUUUAGCUCUAUUUCUGACGAGUUCGAAUACGUCAGCCACAUCAAUAGACUAAUGGGUUUUCUAACUUUCUUAUUCAAUUGACUCUAUUGCUCACUCUUAUUGUUGAUAAGUGUUGAAGUUGGAGCUUCUUAAGAAGAACUAAAACAUGAUUUUCAAUUAAUGAGAAUGUUAAGCUCACCAUCGGGAUUGGGGACACGAGAAAGAUGAGUGCAAGGGACUCCUUGGCAUCAAAGACCCUGAUGCUCCCACCAGGGAAGAGUUGGCUGCUGUUCUUGAAGAAGUCCCUUCUUUUAAGUUCCUAUGCAUAAUGCUCACUUAUUGUCGUUUAUUCAAACAAAGAUUCCAUGAGUGCAAUGAACCUAGCAAAUAUCAAAUGGUGGUUGGAAUCUUAAAUUCAAACAAGGUCUUUGCCUCGAUACAAAGUAGUAUAUACCAAUUUUGUAGGUGAGAUUGAAAUUAUAGAUUGGAAUUGUUCUGGAUUGUUUUGUUUAAUAUGAUUCCCGUGGUACUUGUAUGAAUAAUGUUGCAUGCAAGGUCUCCAGUACUAUACUCUUUGUUUCAAUAUUAAAUCAUGUUCUAGUACUAUACUCUUUGUUUCAAUAUUAAAUCAUCUUCUACAGUUUUAGUGUUUUAUGGUGGCAUAUCAGUGGAUGAGGCAUUACAUGACACUAUGACAGUGGCAUUUUAUCUACUGAAACAACCUUCUGUGCCUCUGGGUUCACAAUAUUUAAUCACUUGUGCCCCUGAGUUGUCUUUAUUUAUUAUUGCUCUUGUUUACUUUCUCCUUUCUUGUUCUUUGUACAACUUAAGUCUCUUUCAUAGUUGUAUUUGUUUCACUGAGGAAAAUUUCUCCAAUCUGCUAUAAGCAAUUUUAGAGUGAGAUGUUUCUGUCAAGCAUUUGGGUCAUUUGUAAAGUUUAUGCGGAGAAGUAUGUGUAGCUGAAAUUUAAUUCUCAUCUUCACACCUUAAUUGCAUGCUCUGAUCUGUAAGUGGGCUCCUGUUGCCAUGCU